GAUAGCUCAGUCAACAGAGCAUGUAGACUCUUUAUCUCAGGAUUGUGGGUUCAAGCCCCACAUUGGGCA